rnacentral:rRNA from 1 species
AUUGAACGCUGGCGGCAUGCCUUACACAUGCAAGUCGAACGGCAGCACGGGGGGUAACCCCUGGUGGCGAGUGGCGAACGGGUGAGUAAUAUAUCGGAACGUGUCCUGUAGCGGGGGAUAACCUAUCGAAAGAUGGACUAAUACCGCAUACGACCUACGGGUGAAAGCGGAGGACCGCAAGGCUUCGCACUAUAGGAGCGGCCGAUAUCGGAUUAGCUAGUUGGCGGGGUAACGGCCCACCAAGGCGACGAUCCGUAGCUGGUCUGAGAGGACGAUCAGCCACACUGGAACUGAGACACGGUCCAGACUCCUACGGGAGGCAGCAGUGGGGAAUUUUGGACAAAGGGCGCAAGCCUGAUCCAGCCAUGCCGCGUGAGUGAAGAAGGCCUUCGGGUUGUAAAGCUCUUUCGGCGGGGACAAAACGGUUCGUGCUAAUACCACGGACUACUGACGGUACCCGCAGAAGAAGCACCGGCUAACUACGUG